rnacentral:tRNA from 1 species
CGGAGCGUGGCGCAGCCCGGUAGCGCACCACAAUGGGGUUGUGGGGGUCGCAAGUUCAAAUCUUGUCGCUCCGAC